GACGAACGCUGGCGGCGUGCUUAACACAUGCAAGUCGAACGGAAAGGCCCUGCUUUUGUGGGGUGCACGAGUGGCGAACGGGUGAGUAACACGUGAGUAACCUGCCCUUGACUUUGGGAUAACUUCAGGAAACUGGGGCUCAUACCGGAUAGGAGCUCCUGCUGCAUGGUGGGGGUUGGAAAGUUUCGGCGGUUGGGGAUGGACUCGCGGCUUAUCAGCUUGUUGGUGGGGUAGUGGCUUACCAAGGCUUUGACGGGUAGCCGGCCUGAGAGGGUGACCGGCCACAAUGGGACUGAGGUACGGCCCAGACUCCUACGGGAGGCAGCAGGGGGGAAUAUUGCAGAAUGGGCGGAAGCCUGAUGCAGCAACGCCGCGUGCGGGAUGACGGCCUUCGGGUUGUAAACCGCUUUCGCCGGUGACGAAGCGUGAGUGACGGUAAUGGGUAAAGAAGCACCGGCUAACUACGUG
rnacentral:rRNA from 1 species